rnacentral:rRNA from 1 species
UACGUAGGGGGGCAAGCGUUGUCCGGAUUCAUUGGGCGUAAAGAGCGUGUAGGCGGCCAGGUAGGUCGGUUGUGAAAACUGGAGGCUCAACCUUCAGAGGUCGACCGAAACCAUCUGGCUAGAGUCCGGGAGAGGAGAGUGGAAUUCCUGGUGUAGCGGUGAAAUGCGCAGAUACCAGGAAGAACACCCGUGGCGAAAGCGGCUCUCUG